rnacentral:lncRNA from 1 species
AUGGGUUGGUAUAUCCAGAAGAGCAGGGGCAUUGUACUGCUGCUGUCCGCCCUCACCCUCUCUCUCCUGGGUGUCAUCAGCUCCACUACCCUCCUACCUCCAACAACCUCCAGCCCUUCUCUUACACUUAUCAACACCUCUCCUCUCACCCACACUUCCUCUCCCACCCUCUUCCCCAAAACAUCCACAUUCUCCCAGCCCCAAAAUCAAAUUUCCUUUACCACCUUAACCCUUCCUCUCUCUCAGUCCUCUCCACUCCUCUCCAAAACCACUGUUCCUCCUCUUCCCAAAACCUCCCAUGCUACUGUACCUUAUACAAAACUUUGCGCCUUCAACUUCCCCAUGCCACACGCCUCCCCCAAAACCCCUCCCGCCCUCAUCUCCCCAAAACUUCCCUUCCUCCUUCUCUCUAUGACCAGUCCCUUCACCCAAAUUUCCCGUCCGCGUCUCCCCAAAACCAUUGUCCCUCCUGUCUCUCAUUCCUCGCCUGCUCCUCUCUCUUACAUCACCUCCAUUCCCCAAAACCUUCUCUCUUCCUGUCCCCAAUACCUCGCCUCCCCUACCCAAAACCUACCGCGCUCGUCUCCCCAAAACAUCCCCUUCCCUUCUCCACGACACAACCAGUCCCCUUCCAAAACACUCCAACCCUCGUCUCCCCAAAACCACCCUCCCUCAUCUCCCCAAAACUACCAACCCUCCCUUACCCAAAACCUCCUCUUCUCUUCCUUCUCCUCUCCCCAUUCCACCAGUCCCUUCCCCAAAACUUCCCAUCCACGUCCCAAAAUGACCACCCCUCCUUUCUCUCAGUUCUCCACCCCUCCUCUCUCCAGAACUACUGUCCCUUAUCUUCCCAAAACAACAAUCGCUCCUCUUCCCUCUUCCACCCGUCCCUUACCCAAAACCUCCACUCCUCGUCCACCCCAAACCUCUCCCCAUCCUCUCCACCACACUGCUCCCCCUCUGUUUGACUGUGAGCCCUUCAUAGUGACCCAGAACAUCCCAGACCUAGUGUGUAACAGGUACAAUAUCUCCCUGUACACCUCCCCCUACAGAGGUGUGGCCACACCUGCCAAGGUAAGAAACAAUACAUAUAUUCCUCUUGGAUAA